rnacentral:pre_miRNA from 1 species
ACUUUCGCUAGCUCUGUAGACAUUUUUAUUAUGUCACUGGGUUCGCGAUUGUUU